UACGGGGGGGGCAAGCGUUGUUCGGAAUUACUGGGCGUAAAGGGCGUGUAGGCGGCCAACUAAGUCGAACGUGAAAUCCCCGGGCUCAACCCGGGAACUGCGUCCGAUACUGGAAGGCUUGAAUCCGGGAGAGGGAUGCGGAAUUCCAGGUGUAGCGGUGAAAUGCGUAGAUAUCUGGAGGAACACCGGUGGCGAAGGCGGCAUCCUGGACCGGCAUUGACGCUGAGGCGCGAAAGCCAGGGGAGCAAACGGG
rnacentral:rRNA from 1 species